CUAGCCAAAACAAGAGUUUAUGCGAUCUCAAUUCCUAAAAUUAUAUAUUUCUAUAUUAUUGUUAAUCAUUACUACAAUCUUGAGUUUUCUGAAUUCUAGAACGGUGACCCGACCAACCAAUUAUAACCCUAGUUUACACACAUGUUGGAUACAUGAAUUCAAUUUACUAGGUUUAUAGCUAACGAAUAGUUGAGGGAAAUAGGACGGUAGAAAAGCGUGACGUUAUAUACUAAACGAAUUUUUUAACAACCGUCAAUAAAUCGUUAAAAAAUUGGAAUUAUCCGUCUCUUCAAUUAUUCCGCUCCGUUGGCCGGACAGACCACAAGCUCAUUAAU